rnacentral:pre_miRNA from 1 species
CUGGAAUCUCCUGUCCUGGUUCCCCCUCUCUAAUCCUUGCUACCUGGGUGAGAGUGCUUUCUGAAUGCAGUGCACCCAGGCAAGGAUUCUGCAAGGGGGAGUGACAUCUUCGCAUAGGACAG